rnacentral:rRNA from 1 species
AAGUCGUAACAAGGUUUCCGUAGGUGAACCUGCGGAAGGAUCAUUACCGAGUGAGGGCCCUUUGGGUCCAACCUCCCACCCGUGUUUAUUUACCUCGUUGCUUCGGCGGGCCCGCCUUAACUGGCCGCCGGGGGGCUCACGCCCCCGGGCCCGCGCCCGCCGAAGACACCCCCGAACUCUGCCUGAAGAUUGUCGUCUGAGUGAAAAUAUAAAUUAUUUAAAACUUUCAACAACGGAUCUCUUGGUUCCGGCAUCGAUGAAGAACGCAGCGAAAUGCGAUACGUAAUGUGAAUUGCAAAUUCAGUGAAUCAUCGAGUCUUUGAACGCACAUUGCGCCCCCUGGUAUUCCGGGGGGCAUGCCUGUCCGAGCGUCAUUGCUGCCCUCAAGCCCGGCUUGUGUGUUGGGCCCCGUCCUCCGAUUCCGGGGGACGGGCCCGAAAGGCAGCGGCGGCACCGCGUCCGGUCCUCGAGCGUAUGGGGCUUUGUCACCCGCUCUGUAGGCCCGGCCGGCGCUUGCCGAUCAACCCAAAUUUUUAUCCAGGUUGACCUCGGAUCAGGUAGGGAUACCCGCUGAACUUAAGCAUAUC